rnacentral:rRNA from 1 species
CGGGAGGCAGCAGUGGGGGAUAUUGCACAAUGGAGGGAACUCUGAUGCAGCAACGCCGCGUGAGGGAAGAAGGUCUUCGGAUUGUAAACCUUUGUCCUCAGGGAAGAUAAUGACGGUACCUGAGGAGGAAGCUCCGGCUAACUACGUGCCAGCAGCCGCGGUAAUACGUAGGGAGCAAGCGUUGUCCGGAUUUACUGGGUGUAAAGGGUGCGUAGGCGGAACUGCAAGUCAGUGGUGAAAUCUGAGGGCUCAACCCUCAAACUGCCAUUGAAACUGUGGUUCUUGAGUGAAGUAGAGGUAGGCGGAAUUCCCGGUGUAGCGGUGGAAUGCGUAGAGAUCGGGAGGAA